rnacentral:rRNA from 1 species
CCUACGGGUGGCAGCAGUGGGGAAUAUUGCACAAUGGGGGAAACCCUGAUGCAGCGACGCCGCGUGAGUGAAGAAGUAUUUCGGUAUGUAAAGCUCUAUCAGCAGGGAAGAAGAAAGACGGUACCUGACUAAGAAGCCUCGGCUAACUACGUGCCAGCAGCCGCGGGAAUACGUAGGGCGCAAGCGUUAGACGGAUUUACUGGGGGAAAAGGGAGCGUAGACGGCGGUGCAAGACUGAAGUGAAAGCCCGUGGCUCAACCGGGGAACUGCUUUGGAAACUGUAUAGCUUGAGUCCUUGAGAGGCAGGCGGAAUUCCUAGUGUAGCGGUGAAAUGCGUAGAUAUUAGGAGGAACACCAGUGGCGAAGGCGGCCUGCUGGACAGAAACUGACGUUGAGGCUCGAAAGCGUGGGGAGCAAACAGGAUUAGAUACCCGAGUAGUC